CCUACGGGUGGCAGCAGUGGGGGAUAUUGCACAAUGGGGGAAACCCUGAUGCAGCGACGCCGCGUGGGUGAAGAAGUAUUUCGGUAUGUAAAGCCCUAUCAGCAGGGAAGAAAGAAGACGGUACCUGACUAAGAAGCCCCGGCUAACUACGUGCCAGCAGCCGCGGUAAUACGUAGGGGGCGAGCGUUAUCCGGAUUCACUGGGGGUAAAGGGAGCGUAGACGGCCGUGCAAGCCAGGAGUGAAAGCCCGGGGCCCAACCCCGGGACUGCUCUUGGAACUGUGCGGCUGGAGUGCGGGAGGGGCAGGCGGAAUUCCUGGUGUAGCGGUGAAAUGCGUAGAUAUCAGGAGGAACACCGGCGGCGAAGGCGGCCUGCUGGACCGCGACUGACGUUGAGGCUCGAAAGCGUGGGGAGCGAACAGGAUUAGAUACCCCAGUAGUC
rnacentral:rRNA from 1 species